rnacentral:rRNA from 1 species
AGCGAACGCUGGCGGCAGGCCUAACACAUGCAAGUCGAACGGACCCUUCGGGGUUAGUGGCGGACGGGUGAGUAACACGUGGGAACGUGCCCUUUGGUUCGGAAUAAGCUCGGGAAACUGGGUCUAAUACCGAAUGUGCCCUACGGGGGAAAGAUUUAUCGCCAAAGGAGCGGCCCGCGUCUGAUUAGCUAGUUGGUGAGGUAAAGGCUCACCAAGGCUACGAUCAGUAGCUGGUCUGAGAGGAUGAUCAGCCACAUUGGGACUGAGACACGGCCCAAACUCCUACGGGAGGCAGCAGUGGGGAAUCUUGCGCAAUGGGCGAAAGCCUGACGCAGCCAUGCCGCGUGAAUGAUGAAGAUCUUAGGAUCGUAAAAUUCUUUCACCGGGGACGAUAAUGACGGUACCCGGAGAAGAAGCCCCGGCUAACUUCGUGCCAGCCGCCGCCGUAAUAC